UUAUAUUUGCUUGUCGAUUGUAUGAAACUGUGAUGAUGAAUGAUAUGCUGAUUUUUUUUUUACAAAAACAGGAAUUGUAAACCUUCAAACGAUGAUUUGAAUUAUCAUGUUAUAUAAAUACACAAUAAAAAUUAAAAAAAUAAUAAUUUUUUAACCAAACUGAACCGGAACUUAAUUGCUUAGUUAUUUCAGAUUGAUAAUUAGGUUUGAAUUGACAUUAAUUGGGAUUCUUCUCAGCCCAAACCAACCUCUAAAAGCCUCUCAAUGUGAUGGAGAGUAGAAAAGCCAGAACCCAACAAUGAAGAACAAGUCACUUUCCUUGCCCCAUUGUCUACAGUUAAAAACCCUAAUUCCUUCCAUUGAAUCCAAAAUAGAUAAUGAGGUGGAAGGAAAGAUUGGUUAGUGAUGAGAGCUUUCUUUAAUCUCUUGUAUUGUGAGCAACUGCUAGGGUCUCUACAAUCUGAAAACAUUUGCUGAUCUCAAUGCUAAUUCUUGGCAAAUGGUUGAUCUUGCAACAAUUACAAGACAAUCAAGCUGGCGGCUGGAACCAGUCAGUGGGGAGCAACACCUUCAAUCUUAGCCAGUAAUAAAUUGCGACCAACGGGAACUGUUCUUAUCUUGUGGAGAUCACCGCUACCCUCAGUUCCACGGUCACAGUUCGGUGAUUGCCGCUUCUCUUAUCCCCAGCCAAUGAUGUUCAGUGGGCAACAGGAAUCGGCCUCUUAUGUUAUGUUGGUGAUCAACAGUACGUCCAGCGUCAAACAAUGAUUGACAGCGAGCGGCAAAGAUCAUAAGCCUUUAUUUCGGUGAUGAACAGAUAUCUCACCCUCCACGAGCGAUGCCCGUCAGCCUGCGAGAUCACCGUUAUUCUCAGUCUCAGUCAAUGAUGAUGACCAGCAGGCAGAACGGAGCAGUCGUGUCCUUUGUCAAUGGAGUUAUGGAUGGAUCACCGUUACUGGCCCUGUUAAAUCUUUAUUCCAUGAGAUAACUAAAGAUGUUUAUCACACAGAAGCCAAAAUAGUGGACAUGGUAAGAACCAUUAUUAUUAUAGUUCACCGUCAUUCCACGAAAUUCUUAAACGACAUCAAUUUUUUUUCAUUGAAGAACCAUUAUUAUGCAAGAGUGUCCUUAAGCCUUGAUGAAGUUUGUUUAAGGUGAUGGUCAAGCAAAGGAAAAAAAAAAUAUGAUCAAAAUAUUUACUAUUGUCCAAA